CAGGACCCUGUAUGUAGUACAGAUCUCCCUUCUUGCAGGAGUGGUGUACUACUAUUUUCAUGGGUCUGUGGGGAAAACAGCCCCUGACCAUGAGAUUGCUGGGGAAUCAUCACAGCCCAUAGGAGAGACCUUAAGGCUAGUGUGGGGGCUGAUGGAUAAGUGCUACCCUGUGACCACUCAGAGACGCAGAGUUAAGAGCGGGAAGAAGCAAGCCUCUGAGGUAAGUGAGGCCUCCCCUGUAAGGGCCCAGGGCUGGGGCUGUCUCCUGUCAGAGCUCCAUGAGACCCAGGGACACCUCAGCUCAUGGCAGCGAGUCCCAGAGAUAGUGGCAGCGCCCCCUCCAGGAAACUCGCAACUGCACCACAGCUUGAGCUGAGAA